rnacentral:rRNA from 1 species
UACAGAGGUCCCAAGCGUUGUUCGGAUUCAUUGGGCGUAAAGGGUGCGUAGGUGGCGCUGUAAGUCGGGUGUGAAAUUUCGGAGCUUAACUCCGAAACUGCAUUCGAUACUGCGGUGCUUGAGGACUGGAGAGGAGACUGGAAUUCAUGGUGUAGCAGUGAAAUGCGUAGAGAUCAUGAGGAAGACCAGUGGCGAAGGCAGCUCGCUGGGACGGUACUGACGCUGAGACGCGAAAGCGUGGGGAGCAAACAGG